rnacentral:rRNA from 1 species
UGGGGAAUAUUGCACAAUGGGCGCAAGCCUGAUGCAGCCAUGCCGCGUGUGUGAAGAAGGCCUUCGGGUUGUAAAGCACUUUCAGCGAGGAGGAAGGUGGUGAAGCUUAAUACGCUCAUCAAUUGACGUUACUCGCAGAAGAAGCACCGGCUAACUCCGUGCCAGCAGCCGCGGUAAUACGGAGGGUGCAAGCGUUAAUCGGAAUUACUGGGCGUAAAGCGCACGCAGGCGGUUUGUUAAGUCAGAUGUGAAAUCCCCGGGCUCAACCUGGGAACUGCAUUUGAAACUGGCAAGCUAGAGUCUCGUAGAGGGGGGUAGAAUUCCAGGUGUAGCGGUGAAAUGCGUAGAGAUCUGGAGGAAUACCGGUGGCGAAGGCGGCCCCCCUGGACGAAGACUGACGCUCGAGUGCGAAAGCGUGGGGCAGCAAACAGGAUUAGAUACCCUGGUAGUCCACGCUGUAAACGAUGUCGAUUUUGGAGGUUGUGCCCCUUGAGG